rnacentral:tRNA from 1 species
GCCUGGUUGGCUCAGUUGGUUGAGCAUCCAACUUCAGCUCAGGUCAUGAUCUCGCGGUGUGGGUUCAAGCCCCGCAUGGGGCU